rnacentral:tRNA from 1 species
UGGGAGCUCGGCUAACGGCAGGCCGCGAGGUUUUGGUCCUCGCUGUGGGGGUUCGAAUCCUCCGCUCCCAG